CACGCUGUAAACGAUGAGUGCUAGGUGUCGGAGGGGUCACCCUUCGGUGCCGCAGCUAACGCAUUAAGCACUCCGCCUGGGGAGUACGGUCGCAAGACUAAAACUCAAAGGAAUUGACGGGGACCCGCACAAGCAGCGGAGCAUGUGGUUUAAUUCGAAGCAACGCGAAGAACCUUACCAGAACUUGACAUCCUCUGCAUCAACCUUAAUCGGUGAAAUCCCUUUUGGGACAGAGAGACAGGUGG
rnacentral:rRNA from 1 species